rnacentral:lncRNA from 1 species
UCUCCCUCUCCCUCUCCCUCUCUCUCUCUCUCUCUCUUUCCCUUUCUCUCUCUCUCUCUCUCUCUCUCUCUCUCUCUCUCUCUCUCUCUCUGUGUUUGUCACAUGUGUGCAGGUGGCAGCAGAGACUGGAGGAGGAGGAUGUUGGAUCUCCUGGAGAUGGAAUUGUAGACAGUUGCUUGUGAGCCACCUGAUGAGGUGCAAGGAAGCAGAGGAGCAAGAACAGCAAAGAGCGGAGACGUGUGUGAUGCACAGGCUCCCUGACAUGUGUCUCCCAGGAAGAUGUGUGUGACGCACAGGCUCCCUGACAUGUGUCUCCCAGGAAGACGUGUGUGACAAGCAAGCUACCUGACAUGUGUCUCCCAGGAAGACGUGUGUAAUGAGCAGGCUACCUGAGGGACAAGGCAACCUUGAGAGCAACUUUCCUCAAAGUGAAUCUGCUAUAAACUGAUGAUCAAUACAUGAAGAAUGACUAGGCACCAAAAAUAAAGCCACUCUUAACUUCUGGAAAAACAAAAGUUCUGCAGGAAAAGAAACUGAGUAAACGAUGCUCCUGUAGCUAUAAAGAUGUAAACACAAAAUGAUAAGUUCACCACCGUUUGUAGUAUAAACACUCAUGGAAGAGUAUAAAUACAAUAGAGCUAGAAAUUGAGAUGAUAGAGGUUUAUACUGAAGCUUGUCCUUCAGAGUAUGAAAAAUCUGUUUCUCAAAGUAUAAAAUUCAAAACUUCAGGAAGUAUGUGUAAAAUCAUAUUACUUAGUAGAAGUUCCCCAAUACACUGACAACAGGAGCUAGAGAUGUAGCCCAGUGGUGGGACCCUUGCCUGGCAUUCACAAGGCCCUGGGUUCAAAACAGGAUUACUAUAUACUCCAGUAAUCCUAUUCCCGGGUAUUUAUACAAAAGAACUGAAUACAAAAGCUUAAUGAUCUAUGACCUCAUGGUCAUUUCAGGGUUAUCCACAGGAUCUUAUGUGAAAACAACCUCCAAUGUCUAGACAUACAGUGAAAUAUUAUGCAGCCUUGAAAAUGGAAAGUUCCCAUCAUGUCUUAUAUAAUAUAGAUGAAACCUAAGAUACCAUGUGGAGAGAAAUAAACUGGUCAGAAAAAGACAAAUACUGUAUAAUUCCACUUUUCUGAGCGUUGUAAAAAUAGCCAAACUAAAGGAAGCACGAUGUACAAUAGUCAUUUUUAAGAGCAGAACAGAGGAAGAAAUGGAAAAUUGUUCAAUAGAUAUAGUUUUAAUUUUGCGUUCCGAAAACUUUUUAAGAUCUUUUGCCCAACACUAUGAAUCUAGUCAGUGUUCUAAGUUGUGAAGUGGAUGAUAGUUAAAGGGGUGCAUUUUGUUGGUUUUUAACCACAGUUAGAGAGCAAUCAAACUUCACCAUUAAAAUGUGUACAGAUUCUUGUGAAUAAAUCACAUGUGUUAGUUAAGUUUGACAACAGAAACAAAAGACAAAAAGGAAUAAAUAUGAUGUCAUUUAGAGAAAAUGCCAGAAGAAACAGCUGUUCCCAGGUCACCUCUGGAGAAAGGUCCAUGUGAAGCCAGGGUGACUGCUUCAUGCCACAAACCUUUAGAUGUAUAUAAUGUAUCGCCCACAAAAAUUGUUAAAUUAAUAUUUACUCAGGGGCGUGAGAAAACAUCAAAGUUUCAAUGGAAAAUGGAUCAAAGUUACAGUUCAAGAAGGAAGUACAGGAGCUAAUGGAAAACUCUGAUGUGUUCAAACUUCCUCCUCAUCAAAGAAAUUGUACGGUGCUCUUUUUCUAAUAAAAGCAGAAGGCUGCCUCCCAAACCAUCGUCAUCUGGGAUGGUGUGGUCAGCUGAGGCUCUGCCCUGGCUGCAAA